AGGAGAGUUUGAUCCUGGCUCAGGAUGAACGCUAGCUACAGGCUUAACACAUGCAAGUCGAGGGGCAGCAUGAUCGAAGCUUGCUUUGAUUGAUGGCGACCGGCGCACGGGUGAGUAACGCGUAUCCAACCUUCCCCAUAGUAGAGAAUAGCCCGGCGAAAGUCGGAUUAAUGCUCUAUGUUGUAUCAUGAGGACAUCUGAAUAAUACCAAAGGUUCACCGCUAUGGGAUGGGGAUGCGUCUGAUUAGGUUGUUGGCGGGGUAACGGCCCACCAAGCCCACGAUCAGUAGGGGUUCUGAGAGGAAGGUCCCCCACAUUGGAACUGAGACACGGUCCAAACUCCUACGGGAGGCAGCAGUGAGGAAUAUUGGUCAAUGGACGGAAGUCUGAACCAGCCAAGUAGCGUGCAGGAUGACGGCCCUAUGGGUUGUAAACUGCUUUUAUACAGGGAUAAAGUGAGGGACGUGUCCCUUUUUGUAGGUACUGUAUGAAUAAGGACCGGCUAAUUCCGUGCCAGCAGCCGCGGUAAUACGGAAGGUCCGGGCGUUAUCCGGAUUUAUUGGGUUUAAAGGGAGCGCAGGCUGAUGAUUAAGCGUGACGUGAAAUGUAGCCGCUCAACGGCUGAACUGCGUCGCGAACUGGUUAUCUUGAGUGAGUUCGAUGUUGGCGGAAUUCGUGGUGUAGCGGUGAAAUGCUUAGAUAUCACGAAGAACUCCGAUUGCGAAGGCAGCCAACAAGGCCUUUACUGACGCUAAAGCUCGAAGGUGCGGGUAUCGAACAGGAUUAGAUACCCUGGUAGUCCCCU
rnacentral:rRNA from 1 species